AACGAACCCUGGCGGCAUGCCUAACACAUGCAAGUCGAACGAGACCUUCGGGUCUAGUGGCGCACGGGUGCGUAACGCGUGGGAACCUGCCCUUAGGUUCGGAAUAACUCCCCGAAAGGGGUGCUAAUACCGGAUAAUGUCUUCGGACCAAAGAUUUAUCGCCUUUGGAUGGGCCCGCGUUGGAUUAGCUAGUUGGUAGGGUAAAAGCCUACCAAGGCGACGAUCCAUAGCUGGUCUGAGAGGAUGAUCAGCCACACUGGGACUGAGACACGGCCCAGACUCCUACGGGAGGCAGCAGUGGGGAAUAUUGGACAAUGGGCGAAAGCCUGAUCCAGCAAUGACGCGUGAGUGAUGAAGGCCUUAGGGUUGUAAAGCUCUUUUACCCGGGAUGAUAAUGACAGUACCGGGAGAAUAAGCUCCGGCUAACUCCGUG
rnacentral:rRNA from 1 species